GACGAACGCUGGCGGCGUGCUUAACACAUGCAAGUCGAACGGAAAGGCCCUGCUUUUGUGGGGUGCUCGAGUGGCGAACGGGUGAGUAACACGUGAGUAACCUGCCCUUGACUUUGGGAUAACUUCAGGAAACUGGGGCUAAUACCGGAUAGGAGCUCCUGCUGCAGGGGGGGGGUUGGAAAGUUUCGGCGGUUGGGGAUGGACUCGCGGCUUAUCAGCUGGUUGGUGGGGUAGUGGCUUACCAAGGCUUUGACGGGUAGCCGGCCUGAGAGGGUGACCGGCCACAUUGGGACUGAGAUACGGCCCAGACUCCUACGGGAGGCAGCAGUGGGGAAUAUUGCACAAUGGGCGGAAGCCUGAUGCAGCAACGCCGCGUGCGGGAUGCCGGCCUUCGGGUUGUAAACCGCUUUCGCCUGUGACGAAGCGUGAGUGACGGUAAUGGGUAAAGAAGCAUCGGCUAACUACGUG
rnacentral:rRNA from 1 species